GUUUUAUUUUUCUUUACAGUUGGAUAUUACAUAUGUGAAGUCACAGUCAGAUGAAAUAAAAGACACUUGUAUGGAAAAGUAUCUCUGGAGGGAUUCAAAACUGCAAUGCGAAUAUAAAACCCAUUAGACCACUGAGACCUACGGGGCAUAUGUCAAGAUCCGGAUUUCUACUAUAUGAAACACAGUCCUGUGUACUAAAGUAGGGCUUCUUUAUGUCGUCCGUUCGUUUGCCCGUUAACCUACACCCAUCCCUCUGUACUCCCCCUCCCCCCUCGCAAAAAUAAAAAACAGCAUUGUAUAAAAUUUGAUCAAAUCUGUAAUGGACAACCUGGCUAGGUUGGACUACCCGGUUUGACAGUACUACCCCGGCUAAUCUAAUGUGUCAAAUUUCUGGCCCUUACGAGGUCGGUUAUCUUAUAUCUACGGGUGAAUUUUUUUUUUUCCAGGCACACAGGGACACAACCCUGGCUCAGUCCUGUUUAGUACCCAGCUAUGGCCCAGGUGCGUAGGGGGAGGGACUACAAUUGACAAGUGCAUAAAUGUAUUUUAUUGACUGUAUAGGCAGUAAGCUUAUUGUACAGCAUGUUCACAAUACCUUACUGUUCAUUCGUUGAUUGAAUUUAUCAUUAAUUGAAUGAUGUUUUGUCUAUUUAUGUAAAUGCAACUUUUAUUGUAAGGCAUUUGAAACUGAAUAAAGAAAGACAGAAAGAUAACAUUUAUGAAAAA